rnacentral:misc_RNA from 1 species
GCAAACUUGGUCAUUUAGAGGAAGUAAAAGUCGUAACAAGGUCUCCGUUGGUGAACCAGCGGAGGGAUCAUUACAGGGCUUAAAAUACCCUAAAACCACUGUGAAUCUUACCUAUUUGUUGCCUCGGUGGGCGGCCUCCGGGGGAGGCCACAGCCCGUUCGGUCGGGUGCUCGCCAGUGGCUCACCAAACUCUGUUUAUUUUGUUACUCUGAGUAAAAUCCAAAAUAAAAAAACUUUCAGCAACGGAUCUCUUGGUUCUGGCAUCGAUGAAGAACGCAGC